rnacentral:misc_RNA from 1 species
UCGAAACCUGCAAAUGACCCGCGAACUAGUCAUCAACACUUCGGGGGUGUUGGGAGAAAUCUCGGACCCCCGUGUGCCAGCGGUGGGGAGAUCGUGCCAUUAUCUUGUCAUGAUCGCCAAACCACUGGAACACCAACCAACCAAACCCCGGCGCGGCACGCGCCAAGGAAUUCGCGAUAAAAGAAGGUCACGCUCCCGGUCGUGCCGAAAAUCGGAUAACACGGUCGGGCCGCUGUCCUCUGUUCAUAACAAAAACGACUCUCGGCAACGGAUAUCUAGGCUCUUGCAUCGAUGAAGAACGUAGCGAAAUGCGAUACUUGGUGUGAAUUGCAGAAUCCCGUGAACCAUCGAGUCUUUGAACGCAAGUUGCGCCCGAAGCCUUCUGGCCAAGGGCACGUCUGCCUGGGUGUCACACAUCGUCCCCACCAAAUCCAACACCUCCUCGUGGGUGUUUGGCAAGAGGAUGGGCGGAUAAUGGUCUCCCGUGCGCACCCGCUCGCGGUUGGCCCAAAAAUAAGUUCCUGGCUAUCGCAAGCCAUGACCAGCGGUGGUUGAAAGACCCUCGACGGGCGUCAUGAGCACUUGCGUGGCAUGUUGGGACAUCUCGACCCUGAUCGUGUUCGAUGUUUCGAACACUCAUCUAGUGACCCCAAGUCAGGCGGUACUACCCGCUGAGUUUAAGCAUAUCAA